UACGGAGGGGGCUAGCGUUGUUCGGAAUUACUGGGCGUAAAGCGCGCGUAGGCGGACCUGCAAGUCGGGGGUGAAAGCCCGAGGCUCAACCUCGGAACUGCCUUCGAUACUGCGGGUCUCGAGUCCGGAAGAGGUGAGUGGAAUUCCGAGUGUAGAGGUGAAAUUCGUAGAUAUUCGGAGGAACACCAGUGGCGAAGGCGGCUCACUGGUCCGGUACUGACGCUGAGGUGCGAAAGCGUGGGGAGCAAACAGG
rnacentral:rRNA from 1 species